AACCCUUGACCUCGCCGCGGCGUCCCGUUUACAGACUGGCAGACUGAGGCCGCGGGGACCCAGCAGAAAACCGGAGGGCCGCUGAGCGAGACCUCCAGCCCGUCAGAAGCAGUUUCUUAUCUAAUCCCGUCAGGAUUCCCAUACCUUCACCGCUGCAGCCGGCCUGUUCCCGGGUGGCCCUGAGCUUCACUGAAUCCCAACUGCCUGGAAGAGCUCAGCUUGCAAUGCCUCCUCCGGGCAGCCUUCGUGGGAGCCCGCCCCGCUCCCGCCCCUCCCGGUGCUGCUCCCCGCUGCCUUCUGGGCUCAGGUGCUGUCCUAGAUGAAUUCUGUCAACGGGCUGGCCCAGCCCUGGAGAUUCCAUUCUAUCCUGCGCUGCCCCUAUGCAGGGGAAGGGAUUUUGCGACCUUUUGGAUGGCUUGAGGACAGGGUGGGGGUGUGGACGGUGGUGGAUGCCCUUCCCAAACAGAAACAUUUAGGCGGAGAAGGCCUUACCCUCCCUAAGAGGGAGAAUGCAAGAAAGUGUGGCCCGGGUUUGCUGAUGCCUUUUGUGUGUGCCUGGGGCGUGGAGGGGGUGGGUGCUGCAGGAGGAGGUGUCUGGGCAGCUGCAGCCAGGCUCCUGGUGCCCUGUGAAGGCCUCCAGGACCGCAUGCCCACCUUCACGAUUCCACCAUUGCAAGCCCCAUUCUCCCUCCUUUCCCUUCCCCUCCGUUUCAGUGUCCUCAAAGUGUGCCCCUUUUUGUUUCUUCAUGCGCCUCAAAAAGAAGGAAAAAAAAGUAUUUAUUGGAAAGACAGAAACCGUUCCCAUCCACUGGUUCCCUUUGCCAACCACCCAACUGCAGCCAAGAGUGCGGCAGGCCAGGAGCUAGCAGCCAGGAACUCAAUCCAGGUCUCCAUGUGGGUGGCAGGAGCCCAGUUAACUCUGAGCCAUCACAGUUGUCUCAGGAGGCUCCACUUCAGCUGGGAGCUGGCGUCCAACUGAACCCCGGCACUCCCAACACGCAACAGCCAUGUCGUCACCACUGAGAAACCUAGAUGGGAUGGUUUCUCGAAAGGGCCUAAUGGGAGGAGGAUGGAAAAGACUUGAUGGGUUUUAUACCUUUGUCAAGUAUGGGCUUCCUGUUUUGACAAGGUGUACUACUGGAAGAUGCCUCAAGGACCAGAGGAAAUGCAAUUACAGCUAACAA